rnacentral:tRNA from 1 species
GCCGAGCAGAGCGGCCGGCGCGCCGUCGCCUACUCGCGGCUCGGGCACGGCCGUUCGGAUCGCCCGCUCGCCCC